rnacentral:rRNA from 1 species
CGCAUCUGUGCAUGCAGCAUAUCAAUAAGCGGAGGAAAAGAAACUAACAAGGAUUCCCUCAGUAACGGCGAGUGAAGCGGGAAGAGCUCAAAUUUGAAAUCUUGAAAGGUCACCUUUCACGAAUUGUAGUUUAAAGAAGUGUUUUCUGUUACGAUCGUAAUAUAAGUUCUUUGGAAUAGGACAUCACAGAGGGUGAGAAUCCCGUCUAUGAUUGCGAUUUGUAGCUUUGUGAUACACUUUCAAAGAGUCGGGUUGUUUGGGAAUGCAGCCCAAAACGGGAGGUAAAUUUCUUCUAAGGCUAAAUAUUGGCGAGAGACCGAUAGCGAACAAGUACCGUGAGGGAAAGAUGAAAGGAACUUUGAAAAGAGAGUUAAAUAGUACGUGAAAUUGUCAAAAGGGAAGCGUUUAACACCAGUGUUGUUUUCUGAAAAUCAACCUCUGUUAGCUUUAUGCAUGUUUGUUUAGACCUAAUCAGCUAUCUUGCAUGUUCUAUUGUUUGCAGUGGUGCACUUUUCAGUUUACAGGUCAACAUCAGUUUUUUUUACCGUAAAAAAGUUAAAGAAAGGUAGCUCAUGGCUCCGGUCGUGAGUGUUAUAGUCUUUUUCCUAUGCGGUAGGAGAGACUGAGGUCUGCAGUGUAGGCUAUUUGGCUAGAUACUCAGGUGCUAUGUGAUACCAUUUCAUAAACAACUUGUUGAUUAUGUUUUGUCUAUUGCAUACUCGCUUGUACUAUCAUACCUACGCUUAGGAUGUUGACGAUCAGCUGAGCGCG